AUUGAACGCUGGCGGCAUGCCUUACACAUGCAAGUCGAACGGCAGCACGGGUGCUUGCACCUGGUGGCGAGUGGCGAACGGGUGAGUAAUACAUCGGAACGUACCUUAUCGUGGGGGAUAACGCAGCGAAAGCUGUGCUAAUACCGCAUACGCCCUGAGGGGGAAAGCGGGGGAUCGCAAGACCUCGCGCGAUUAGAGCGGCCGAUGCCUGAUUAGCUAGUUGGUGGGGUAAAAGCCCACCAAGGCGACGAUCAGUAGCUGGUCUGAGAGGACGAUCAGCCACACUGAGACUGAGACACGGCCCAGACUCCUAGGGGAGGCAGCAGUGGGGAAUUUUGGACAAUGGGGGCAACCCUGAUCCAGCAAUGCCGCGUGAGUGAAGAAGGCCUUCGGGUUGUACAGCUCUUUUGUCAGGGAAGAAACACCGGCUCUAACACAGUCCGGGAAUGACGGUACCUGAAGAAUAAGCACCGGCUAACUACGUGCCAGCCGCCGCCGUAA
rnacentral:rRNA from 1 species